AAAAAACAGUUUCCGGUCAUUCAAAUUUGGCGCUGUCAAAAUAAAUAAACCAUAUCCAUAGUAAUGGAAAAAACUAAACAAAACGUUCAAUAUGCAAUAUUAAUAUUCAGUCAUCAUCAUUCGUACCAGAUCUCUUGAACCACACUCUUGUGAGGCCACGUAAUUAUGGAUCCGAUUACAAGCGAAUCGUAAUCUGUAACUAUGGAGUCCGAACAUUCGAAAUUUCUAGUAAUCAUUCGGCAUAAUAUCAGUGGGGAACUCUGAUAAGACAAUAAAGAAAACACCAAAAAAAUAGAAAAAUAAAAAAUGCAGAAAUAAGAAAGCUUCGCCUUUAUUAUGGAGCUGUGAAAAACUAAUUAAGAAAAAUACAAAAAUAGGGGAGCUGCUUCUUUAUUAUGGAGCUGUGUAAUCACAAAUACAAGUAAUACGGUAAUAGGAAAGCUUCGUCUUUAUUAAGAAGCUACGAAACGGAAAAACGAACGGAUAAUGCAUAACUACGAAACCUUGGUCUUCAUUUUGUGUCAGGCUGACUUGCAAAAUUUCCAGUGCCAUCACAAUAAGGGGAGUAAGUACACAUCGCGCCGUUACAGUCAGUGUUAAUUGAAAACAUAUCAACAAAGCGAAAAAUAAUAGAUGAUAGCAUGCACAAGAAUCAUGUGUUGACUAACCACGCCAGAUCGAGGAGGAUGGGGUUUUCGCAUCGCACAGUUAUGUUAUAUCCAUGAAAACUUCUAAGUUUAUAUAUAUUUAUAGUUAUUAUUGUAUUACCAUUAAACAUAUUUUAUAGUUAUAAUUAUUAUAGUACAUUAAAGACGUUAAAAGUAGCAAAAUUA